rnacentral:lncRNA from 1 species
CUGCGUCCAAUCCUCGGGAAAUUGCACAUAUCAAUUUUAAAACAAAAUCAUCAUUCUUCCCCAUUCUUCCCCUAAUACACACAGAAGUACAAUGGCAUCAAUAAAAAGAAGAUUCUGUUAUGGUUCUUGAUUUUGUUGGUUCAUUGGUCCCUUUUCAAGAAAUUCCCAUUUACUCCAAAGAUUGUAAUCUAUAGGUGGGCACCAAAUUUUUACUCGCUCCUAAUAAAAACAUUGGUACAUCCGGUGGACUCAAGAUUUUAACACGAGGGAGGCACCGCUAUUUUUCUCGAUCAAUAUUUCCUAAAGGCUUUUAAAAUUUAGGGUGUUAAAGUUAUUUAUAUAAUCAUUUUUAAUGUGUAUAUAUAUAUAUAUAUAUAUAUAUAUAUAUAUAUAUAUAUAUAUAUAUAUGAUUUUUGCCGAAAUUUUCGAAGUCCGAUGACCCUGUAACACUACAUAUAGGUCUGUCUCUGAGCAGGGCGGAAUUAGGGCGGCGGAAGGGGGUUUCUCUGAACCCAUCACUAAAAAUGUAUACUGUAUAUAAGGCAAAAUCUAUUUUUUUACCUCUAUAUAUUAUAUUUUGGAUUUCCUUGACACAACCCAAAAGUGUAGUUUAGUGAUUUAGGGGGUUCAAAACUUUUGUAAGAUCAUUGGUUCAAUUUUCACUACCUACAAUUAUUUUAAUUUCUUUUUAAACCCCUUAGUAAAACUUUUGCCUUCGCCGCUAUCUCUCCGGGUACAUCACAUGGGAAGUUCAAACAUACAAAGAGAAAAAAGAAAUUGGUGCAGUAGUUGAGAACAAUAAAUAGAGAAACGUGCAUAUAUACGAAGAGUUCCUUUUUGGGAUCCUUUUU